rnacentral:rRNA from 1 species
GACGAACGCUGGCGGCGUGCCUAAUACAUGCAAGUCGAACGCAGUGGGGCCGGGUAAGUAACCCGUGGGUAACCGCCCAUCACAGGGGAUAACACUUUGAAACAGGUGCUAAACCGCAAUAGCUGGCUGGACCGGCGGUGCAUUAGCUAGUUGGUGAGGUAACGGCUCACCAAGGCGACGAUGCAUAACUGGGCUGAGAGGAUGAGCGGUCACACUGGGACUGAGACACGGUCCAGACUCCUACGGGAGGCAGCAGUAGGGAAUCUUCGACAAUGGACGAAAGUCUGAUCGAGCCACGCCGCGUGAGUGAAGAAGGUUUUCGGAUCGUAAAACUCUGUAAGUAGAGAAGCGGUACCUACAGAGAAAGCCACGGCUAACUACGUGCCAGCAGCCGCGGUAAUUC